GCCGGGCACGGUGGCGCACACCUGUAAUCCUAGCAGCUUGGAAGGCUGAGGCAGGAGGAUCACCAGCCUCAGCAAAAGUGAGGCCCUAAGCAACUCAGUGAGACCCUGUCUUUA
rnacentral:sRNA from 1 species